GCUGAGGGCGCUGGGGUGCGCGCCUGUAGUCCCAGCUACUCGGGAGGCUGAGGCAGGAGGAUCGCUUGAGCUCAGGAGUUCUGGGCUGUAGUGCGCUAUGCCGAUCGGGUGUCCGCACUAAGUUCGGCAUCAAUAUGGUGACCUCCCGGGAGCCGGGGACCACCAGGUUGCCUAAGGAGGGGUGAACUGGCCCAGGUCGGAAACGGAGCAGGUCAAAAAUGCUUUGCUGAAACCCGUCAGGGAGUUCAGGUGUUUCAAGUACCAGCAGCCCUGGACUCCUUGCUUGGUGGCCUGCAGU
rnacentral:SRP_RNA from 1 species